AAGCCACCAGCGAGGUGGCUAGUGACUACAAGAAAAAGAAGCAUGUCUUCAAGCUCCAAACCCAGGAUGGCAGCGAGUUCUUGCUCCAGGCUAAAGAUGAGGAGGAGAUGAACGGCUGGCUGGAGGCUGUGGCUAACUCCGUGGCAGAACACGCCGAGAUCGCCCGAUGGGGCCAGACACUACCUACCACAUCAUCCACAGACGAGGGCAACCCCAAGCGUGAGGGCGGGGAGCGUAGGGCCAGCGGGCGCCGGAAGUGAUCCCAGGUACCCUUCCCCCUCCCCCCUUGGAGUCUGACAAGUCUCCUUGCCCCUCCUGUCUGCACUGUGGACACAAAGACACCUUCUCAUCCGCAAGGGCAGGAAGAUGGCUGCGGAUGUGCCACGGUGGGCCUGAAAUAGAAGGGACUUCUGCACUCCAAGAAGUGGUGGUAGGGGAUUGCUGUCCCUAUUAGCCAUAUCUCGGUCCCUUCCUGCUCGUCAACCCCACCCCAGGUGCUGGGGCUCCAUUCUUUUUAUGCAAUAACUGAGCUUGAUGGGGACGGGCAGGGAGCCAGUUGAGCCAAGCCCCCUGCCUAAUCGUCAGAUCCUGCCCCAAGAAACUGGAGUGGCGAGGGAUCUAGGAGGUGGUGAUUUGUUGGCCUCCUCUCCGCCCUAAGGAUGGACAACGGGGGCGCUGGUGAGGUCCCCUGGACCAUCCAGGGUGCUAGGGGGUGGGGAGGG
rnacentral:lncRNA from 1 species